UACGUAGGGGGCAAGCGUUGUCCGGAUUUAUUGGGCGUAAAGAGCUCGUAGGCGGUUCGACAAGUCGGAUGUGAAAUCUCCACGCUCAACGUGGAGGGGCCAUUCGAAACUGUCGUGACUUGAGUCCGGUAGGGGAGUGUGGAAUUCCCGGUGUAGCGGUGGAAUGCGCAGAUAUCAGGAGGAACACCAAUAGCGAAGGCAGCUCGCUGGGACGGUACUGACGCUGAGGCGCGAAAGCGUGGGGAGCGAACAGG
rnacentral:rRNA from 1 species